rnacentral:rRNA from 1 species
UACAGAGGUCUCAAGCGUUGUUCGGAUUCAUUGGGCGUAAAGGGCGCGUAGGCGGCGGGGUAAGUCUGGUGUGAAAUCUAGGAGCUCAACUCCUAAACUGCACUGGAUACUGCUCUGCUGAGAGGACUGGAGAGGAGACUGGAAUUCAUGGUGUAGCAGUUGAAAUGCGUAGACGAUCAUGAGGAAGACCAGUGGCGAAGGCGGGUCUCUGGACAGUUCCUGACACUGAGACACGAAGGCCAGGGGAGCAAACGGG